rnacentral:rRNA from 1 species
UACAGAGGGUGCAAGCAUUAAUCGGAUUUAUUGGGCGUAAAGAGCGCGCAGGCGGGUUUUUAAGUCAGAUGUGAAAUCCCGGGGCUCAACCCCGGAACAGCAUUUGAAACUGAGAAUCUUGAGGGUAGUCGGAGAAAAUGGAAUUCCACGUGUAGCGGUGAAAUGCGUAGAUAUGUGGAAGAACACCGGUGGCGAAGGCGAUUUUCUAGAUUAUUCCUGACGCUGAGGCGCGAAAGCAAGGGGAUCAAACAGG